rnacentral:rRNA from 1 species
UACGUAGGGGGCUAGCGUUGUCCGGAAUCAUUGGGCGUAAAGCGCGUGUAGGCGGUCCGGUAAGUCCGCUGUGAAAGUCGGGGGCUCAACCCUCGGAUGCCGGUGGAUACUGUCGGGCUUGAGUACGGAAGAGGCGAGUGGAAUUCCUGGUGUAGCGGUGAAAUGCGCAGAUAUCAGGAGGAACACCAAUUGCGAAGGCAGCUCGCUGGGACGUUACUGACGCUGAGGUGCGAAAGCUAGGGGAGCGAACAGG